rnacentral:lncRNA from 1 species
GUAUGCCUCAUGACUCAUCCCUCCUCUAGAAGGGAGCUAAGAGGCAACUGAACAUCCACCCAGGACUGCAACUCAAGAUUGUGGAAGCAAGAGUUCUAAAUACCUCUUCAGUAGGUUAUGCCUUUCCCAGAAGGACUGAUCUCAAAGCACAAUUUCCAAGAAUGCUAUUACCAGAAAAAUGGGGACUUUUAACCAACUAUAUACUGUAGAAGAGUGGAACAUGAGGGUCUCAAGAAUUCGAGUGUUUAUGAAGUACCACGAAUGGGCUCAGCUACUAACAUACUUGAUGCUGCUCAGAAUGCCAGUCCUUUGAAAAUCUGUGAAGUAGAAAGUUUGCCCUUGGUGCCCCUAAAUCUCUUGACUUCAACCUCCAUUCCUGGAAUGUUACCUUUCCUAUGCCUGAGGAAAGUCAUCCAGUUUUACCGGGCGAGGUCUUGGGUGUACUCUUUGGAGAAGACUCGAGAGCUUUGUAUGAAAGCAGGAAGCCCGUCUCAUCACCAGGGAUGCAGCAGCUCACUGCGGUUUGGAGUCACCAGACUCAGCUUUGCCUCACUCAGAGGAUUCUUUAGGUUUCUUUACUUAAAAAGGAUAAGAGAGCACCUUGGAGAAAUAACUGAUUCUGGGACCGGGGCAGGAAGUUUAUAA